rnacentral:lncRNA from 1 species
UAUCUCUCACUACAUAGAUCUCCACCCUACAAUGAGGCUUUAGGAACAAAGAUGGAUAUACAGUCCUCUUCUGAGAGAAGUUUCAGUGAGAGGGAGACACCAGAUGAGUCUAAAAGCUCCUCAGGGACAUUCAAGAAUAAAAUUGGCCUUCCUCUCUGUUCUUUGGGCAUCAUGAAAGAUGCCUGGGAGCGUCUGCGGCAGUGCAUCAGUCCCACUACCGUACUGUGCCCAGGUGGAGGUGGCACACCCGUCCUGGGCCAGGUCUUCCAUUUCCUUUGUGGGAGCCUCCACCGAACCUCUUCUCUGAUGGACAAAGAUGGAGUUGCACAUGUGGAUCCCAAAGCCAUCACCGUAGCCAUGGCACAGUAACACCAAAGAGCUCAGGUGCGUUUGGAGGCCUUGUGUCAGA